rnacentral:lncRNA from 1 species
CCGGGCCUAUCAGUGCGCGGCCCCGUAGUCACGUGAUGCGCGCUGUGCACGCGCCUGACCGCGCGGAGUUCGCUCUGGGGUGCUUCAGCAGUGUGCCAGUGAAUCCUCGGGACAAGGCGCCAAAGUGUCCACCCACCCCACUUGGAAGGGCUGGGCAAAGGUUGCACGUGGCUCGUCAAGCCGGCCUUGCCUCGGAAACUCCACCAGUGAUGCGGCUGCCCACGGUGGCCUGCUCUGGGUGCUUAGGACCAUGGAGGCCUGCUAAAGGAUGCUGCCCUCUGUGUGGUGAUGUACCCAAAUUUACCGUCAGCAAAGACCGAGCAGAUGGGGCUAUCUAGUCGUGGACUUCAACACUCCCAAACUGUAAGCUGUAUAAGCCUCUCUUCUGUAUAGACAGAUUCCAGCCUCAGAAAACAGAUAAUGGGUGCAUGGAGGAGACAGAAUGGAUGUGGUAUGAGACUGGAGGAGAGGUCACAUGAAGGAACCCCUUCCGGGGAGAAUCAAGUGGAUCAUGACUUCACAGGAAGUCCCAUUCUCCCAGGACAUAGGCACUAAAGCAGAGAAGUGCGGGUGUUGUCCAGGACUGGCUCUGCCAGCUAUCUUGGAGCUACAGUGGCAGCAGAGCCUCUGUACCCUUCAGGGUCAUUGACUUCUCUCCACUCUGCAGACCUGAGAUGUCUGCAGACAGAAAUGUGGAUAGUCUUCCCUGAUUGCCUUGGGCUGCAGAACCCCAAGGGACAAGGUAUGGUGACUUAGUCCUGUUUGGGGUGUGGCUUCCCCACCACCUGAGUGAGAGAAUACAGACCAGGUUUAAUUUUUGUUCUCUUUUCUUUUUCCCUUCCUUUCUUCCUUUUUUUUUUUUUUUUUUUUUUUUUUUUUUUUUUUUUUUUUCUUGAGACAGGGUUUCUCUGUGUAGCCCUGGUGUCCUGGAACUCACGACCUGGCUGGCCUUGAACUCACAGAGAUCUGCCCGCCUCUGCCUCCUGAACACUGGGAUUAAAGAUGUGCACCAGCACAUCCAGCAUUUUUAUUAAAUUUUAAUUAUUUAAGUGUGUAAAGAUUAUCCUCAGUUGCACAAGACCCUGUCUCAAAAGUCAGAAAAAAAUGGUUUGUGGUGGGGAGCUGGUGACAUUGUUCAGCAAGUAAUGUGCUUGUCACCUAAGACUGUCAACCUGCCUUUGGGCUCUGGAAACCACAUGGGAGGAGAGAGAUUGCCCUCUGACUUCCACAUGUGUGCCAUGGAGCAUGCACAAGCCCCCAUCAUAUACACACAAUGGUAAUGUUUAAAAAAAAAAAUAGAGGAGGAGGAGCUGAAUCUAAGGGCAGACCUGUUAGCUUCUGCCUGAGUCAGCAUGUCUGUUUCAUUUGCUCCUUCAGAUAUUGGCACCAAGGACUCUGAUGUCACUCAUCCCCUGGGCACACUGACAGUGGCUGUGGUACACAGCAGGAAACUGCUUCAUAAUAGUCCCAGUGGCCCCUCUGCUGACUCUGGAUCACCCUGAACCAAGCCUUUCCACGUUCCAGGCUGACUUCUCUUCCAGGAUGGAAUUCCUGACCUUGCUGGCCAGGGCUAGGGCAGUGGGGGGGGGGGGCAGAUGAGAAAGGGCAUUGGAUAAUCCAGAGAGGUCUGCACCCUCUCCCAGAGAACCACUCCCCUUACCUGGUGAGGAGUCACUUGUCCCCAUCCCCCAUCAGGAAAGACUUGAAAAACCAGAAAAUGAGAGUGCCAAGAUGAACCAUCACAUUGUGUUAAUAUUUUCACACCACUUAACUCUCAUUAAAAUGUACUUUGCUGAAUUUAAUAUGUGAUUUCAAAUGACACAACAUAUUAAGUGCUUAAUAUACUAGAAAUUAUGAAACUAUUAUAGUCGAUGCCAUAUGAAAUAAUUAGAGUGAAUUAAACUUUAGCAGCCGAGUGAAGGCAAGGCUUCAACUUAUAAUAUCUGCAAGUCGCUCAAGCCACCGCUGUAAUCCCCCAAAUAAAUGUCCAGAAAUUAGGCUCUUUAAAUAAAAA